CGGGGUGUGGCGCAGCCUGGUAGCGCACCUGCUUUGGGAGCAGGGGUUCGGAGGUUCAAAUCCUCUCACCCCGACCA
rnacentral:tRNA from 1 species